GCUCAUCUUAUAACUUUUCGCCAGAAACUCCUAUCCUCACGGCUCUUGAAUAUCUGAAAUAUUCUAAACCCGUCUUAUGGAUUCUGAUUCACCCCACCUAUGUAAUAAUUAGAGGGUUUACUACUCUCUAUUUAGUCUAGAUAAGCCAUAUGUAUGUUGUGAUUCUGAUUCACCACCUAUGUAAUAAUUAGAGGGUACUCUCUAUUCAGUCUAGAUAAUGUAAUAAUUAGAGGGUUUUACUACUCUCUAUUCAGUCUAGAUAAGCCAUAUGUAUGUUGUGAUUCUGAUUCACCACCUAUGUAAUAAUUAGAGGGUACUCUCUAUUCAGUUUAGAUAAUGCAACCCUGCUCCUUCUGUUUAUUCUCAAA
rnacentral:lncRNA from 1 species